GGAGGAAUGAGCGGGAAGGGGCGGGGCUGAGUGGACUGGCGGGACGAGAAAAGGGGCGGGGCGUGCCCAAUCCGGCCGAGGAGCGUUACCAUGGCAACCGUGCCGCGGAGGCCUUGAGAGGCCACACGCCCUAUGUUGGUCUGCGAGAAAUCAAACUUCGAACAGGACAAGCCCGAAGCCCGCUUCUCCGGGAGACGGGGUGCCACAAUUGCAAGAUGAAGGUGUAUACUGCCACUCAAUCUCACUGGGAUUGGCACCCAUAUGCACUAUGGUCAUUUUGCUUGAGUCCAUCAAACUUCUGAUCCUAAGAUUGCACCUUUGGCAUACUGGACCCUUGCUCCACAGAAUUCUUUGCCUGGAAUUUUCUUCCCAGAAUCUUUGCAUGUCAUUCCCUCUGUUGCUGAGUUACCGGGAUCUCAAUGUAAACGUUACGUACUGACAGAGGCUGCUGUGAACUGAAUUGCGUGCUUCCCAAAAUUCAUAUGUUGAUACUGUCACCCCCGGUACCUAAGGAUGUGACUACAUUUGGAGAUAGCAUCAUCAAAGAGGCAUGGAAUCCCAGGGAGCAUCCUGCACUCUCAGUGUCCAGCUGUCUGAGGCCACACUUGUUUCUGAUGAUAGAGAACAAUUGCUUUUUUCUGAGAGACUUAGCACUCCAUGGCUGAGGAGUUCUGCAAUAAAAUGCCUGCUUUCUCCACCAGAUG
rnacentral:lncRNA from 1 species